rnacentral:lncRNA from 1 species
UAUAUAAAAAGACACAAAUUGCCAUGUUAUGGUUCUGCCUUGAAACAGCACAAUGAAGUGUAUCAGUGUAUUCUGUGAUUCUUUAUGAAACUUCUAUGUUGUGUUGUUUUGUGUCUGCCGCAGGGUGUCCUUUGGGCCAGAUGUGGCACAGUUAAAUGCAAUUAUCAUCUCAUGAAAUGCAGAUGCAGAUAAAAUGUCUUUAGUGCUGCAACAUUUUACCUAACUUUUUGUAUGUUUCUGACUGUGCGUUAUUUUCCAAAGCUGUUCCUACCUCACCAUGAGGCUUUAUGGAUUGUUAUGUAUUAUAAAUGUUCUUUAUGAGACAGACUACUGUGUUUCUUCUCAUUUAUUAAAAGUUAAGUAGAAAAAUAAACUAAUUUUAAUAUCUACUUCAUUGUUUUGUGCAUAUGGCCUCAGUAGUUGUGGCUCACAGGCUUAUUUGCUCUGGAGAAUGGGGGAUCUUCCCAGACCAGGGAUUGAACCAAUAUCAUACUAUCCAUGAUUUCAGGCAACCACUGGGGGACUUGGAUGAGAGGAGACUAAAAGUGUGUGUGUGUGUGUGUGUCUGUGUGUGUUUGCAGAAUUAUUUGCUUUCUAUCAAAUAUAUCUGUGGAUAUCCAUGAAGUUACAGAUUCAAAGGCUCUUUACUAGAGUUUUUCCCAUGUAAGCGGGUUUUGUUGGGGGUAGAAGGAUGGUCAUUGGCCUGGGAGUAAAUGUUUCCUGGGGAAGACCUGCUUUGGGCAGUGGAGGUCACUGAGUUAAUGCUCAUCUCAAGCAAUUGAAGGCCUGCAGAGAUGAAAACCUGCACUUCAGCUGCCUCUGCCUCUGUCCUAAGGCUCCUCUGGUCAGUGUGGCCAAAGCAGAGUACUCAACUCUGGGAGUUAAGGAAAUAAAGUAAGUUUUAAUUACAAAAUUUAUAUGCAGAUGCAUUCUCCUAGUAAAUCAUUAAUGUAAUACUGACAAGGCUCAAGAAAGUUUCCUUCUAUUUGUUUUUUAGAAGUUGCUUUUUUUUUUUUUAAGUAAAGGNNNNNNNNNNNNNNNNNNNNNNNNNNNNNNNNNNNNNNNNNNNNNNNNNNNUUGUGCUUUAAUUGCUCUCCCCCUGAUCCUCAAUUUGGUAUCAUUCAAUACCUUUUCCUAUUUAUAUAGAAACAAAUACAUAGAUAUGAAUAUAUAUAUACCUAUAUAUAUAUGCAUAUACAGGUAUUAAAUUAAUGAGUAUUAGUAUAGGUAUUCAAGCCAUAUACACGUUAUAUAUGUGUGUAUAUGUGUGUUACUUACAUAUAAUUAAUACCUGUCUUAAUUUCUGCAGGAUUGUUUCUGUGGAGGUGUUUCCCAACUGAAUCAUUUUGCAACUUUUUGCAAAUCAACUGAAUCAUUUUGCAACACUUUGCAACUCCACAACACAUAGUUCUUAAAGAUCUACCUUUCCUUUUGUGGCUGAUGUACAGUGUUGUUCUGUUGUUUAGCCUGUAAGUCAUGUCAGACUCUCUUGCGACCCCAUGGCCAUGUUGCCUCGUGACGACUGUAUUUGGUCAGGUUCCUACUGAUAGAUGUUUGGGGUGGUCUAGUUUUUACUCUUGAAGGCAAUGCUUUAACGACUAUCUUUAACCACGUUUCCUCAUGCACAUGGAUCUGCCUUUUAAGAAAGUCCCUGAGGCACGUGGGAUCUUCCCAGACCAGGGAUCGAAUCCAUGUCCCCCGCAUUGGCAGGUGGAUUCUUGACUAUGGAACUACCAUGGAAGGCAAAGACUUAAGUCUCUUUUUAAAGACAAUGUUUUUAGAGAAGCUUUAGGUCACAGCAAAAUUAAAACGGAGGCACAGAGAUUUCCCACCUACCCCCUUACAUGCACAGCCUCUGCUACUACCAACAUCUCCCACCAGAGUGGUUCAUUCAUUACAAUUGGUGAAUUGACACUGAAAGGUCACAACCACCUGAAGUCCACAGUUGACCUUAGGGUUCACUCUUGGCAUUUGGCCAUAGUCUAUGUGUUUGGCCAAAUGUGUAAUGACACAUAUCCAUCAUUAUCCGUUGACUUUUCUGUCUUGAAUUUGGUAGAAAACUGAUCAUUUGUCCUGAAGAGCUUCCCACAUUCAAAAUGUAUCUGCCUCCACACCAUGUCUUUUAAUGCCCCUGAUAUUUCUUGAACGUAGUUAUAUUUGAAGUCUUUAUUAGAGUCAGGCUCAAAUUUGUGGGCAAGUUUAUCUGUGAUAUUUUUUUAAAUUAGUUAAUUGGUUUGGCUGCGUCAGGCCUUCAUUGCCAUGUGCAGGCUCAGUAGUUGCAGUGCUCAGGCUUGGUUGCCCGACAGUGUGUGGGAUCUUACUUCCUUGACCAGGGAACCUGCACCUCUUGCAUUGGAAAGCUGAUUCUUAGCCUCUGGACCACCAGGCAAGUGCCUCUAUGACAUUGUUUAAUGGGGUAAGUGGUGUAGGAAAGCUACUAUUUUUUUGUCUUGCUCUAUUUUGUAUUUGUACAUCUUGAUUUUGUAUUUGAGCAUCUUGUUAAAUUGUCUAAUUAGUUGUAAUAAUCUGUCAAUUAAUGUUCUUGAAUUUUCUAGACAAACCAUUAUCUCAUCUGCUAAAAAGGCCAGCUUUUUGUUUCUUUUCCAACAUUUGCACAUUUUAUAUGUUAACUGCACUGACUGGGGCAUCCUAUAAAAUGCUGAAGAGCAGAGGCAAUAUUUAG